rnacentral:rRNA from 1 species
AUUGAACGCUGGCGGCAUGCUUUACACAUGCAAGUCGAACGGCAGCGCGGGCUUCGGCCUGGCGGCGAGUGGCGAACGGGUGAGUAAUGCAUCGGAACGUGCCCAGUAGUGGGGGAUAGCCCGGCGAAAGCCGGAUUAAUACCGCAUACGACCUGAGGGUGAAAGCGGGGGACCGAAAGGCCUCGCGCUAUUGGAGCGGCCGAUGUCGGAUUAGCGAGUUGGUGGGGUAAAGGCUUACCAAGGCGACGAUCCGUAGCUGGUCUGAGAGGACGAACAGCCACACUGGGACUGAGACACGGCCCAGACUCCUACGGGAGGCAGCAGUGGGGAAUUUUGGACAAUGGGGGCAAACCUGAUCCAGCCAUGCCGCGUGGGGGAAGAAGGCCUUCGGGUUGGAAACCGCUUUUGGUCGGGAAGAAAUCCUCUGGGCUAAUACCCCGGGGGGAUGACGGUACCGGAAGAAUAAGCACCGGCUAACUACGUG